GAUGAACGCUGGCUGCAUGCUUAACACAUGCAAGUCGAGGGGACACUACGGGGUAGCUUGCUUCCCCGGGAGUCGACCGGCGCACGGGUGAUUUACGCUUAGCCAACCUGCCUCUGACUGAGGGAUAACCCGUCGAAAGUCGGCCUAAUACCUCAUGUCAUCGUCUGCGGGCAUCCAACGACGAUUAAAGAUUUCAUCGGUCAGGGAUGGGGAUGCGUCUGAUUAGCGUGUUGGCGGGGUAACGGCCCACCAACGCUACGAUCAGUAGGGGGUCGGAGAGGAAGGCCCCGCAGAGUGGAACUGAGGCAAGGUCGAAACUGCUACGGGAGGCAGCAGUCUGGAAGAGGGGUCAGUGGGCGGGAGCCUGAAACAGCCAAGUGGCGGGCAGGACGACGGCGCUAGGGGUUGUAAGCUGCUUGUAUGGGGGGAUAAAGUGAGGGACGAGGCCUUCAUUGACGGUACCGAAUGAAUAAGGACCGGCUAACUCCGUG
rnacentral:rRNA from 1 species